rnacentral:pre_miRNA from 1 species
ACAACAUUCGGACCGUCGGUCUACCGAGCAAUAUCACCCGCGAGGUGGAAGAUCUUCCGUUUACCGU